GAUGAACGCUGGCGGCGUGCCUAAUACAUGCAAGUCGAGCGAAUGGAUUAAGAGCUUGCUCUUAUGAAGUUAGCGGCGGACGGGUGAGUAACACGUGGGUAACCUGCCCAUAAGACUGGGAUAACUCCGGGAAACCGGGGCUAAUACCGGAUAAUAUUUUGAACUGCAUGGUUCAAAAUUGAAAGGCGGCUUCGGCUGUCACUUAUGGAUGGACCCGCGUCGCAUUAGCUAGUUGGUGAGGUAACGGCUCACCAAGGCAACGAUGCGUAGCCGACCGGAGAGGGUGAUCGGCCACACGGGGACGGAGACACGGCCCAGACUCCUACGGGAGGCAGCAGUAGGGAAUCUUCCGCAAUGGACGAAAGUCUGACGGAGCAACGCCGCGUGAGUGAUGAAGGCUUUCGGGUCGUAAAACUCUGUUGUUAGGGAAGAACAAGUGCUAGUUGAAUAAGCUGGCACCUUGACGGUACCUAACCAGAAAGCCACGGCUAACUACGUGCCAGCAGCCGCCGUAA
rnacentral:rRNA from 1 species